UGAGCAUGAGAAAUGGCUACCACAUCUACGGAAGGCAGCAGGCGCGCAAAUUACCCACUCCUAGAGCGGGGAGGUAGUGACGAAAAAUAACAAUACCGGACUCUAUGAGGUUCGGUAAUUGAAAUGAGUACAGUUUAAAAGCCUUAACGAGGAUCUAUUGGAGGGCAAGUCUGGUGCCAGUAGCCGCGGUAAUUCCAGCUCCAAUAGCGUAUAUUAAAGUUGUUGCAGUUAAAAAGCUCGUAGUUGGAUCUCGGGUACUAGCAUUCGGUACGCUUAAUUGCUGUUACUGUUUGUCUAGUCCUAAUCAAUCGGUUGGCCAUUUAUGCCCUUUAUUGGGUGUUUUUGGUAGCCGAUACGUUUACUUUGAGAAAAUUAGAGUGCUUAAAGCAGGCUUUACGCCUGAAUAAUGUUGCAUGGAAUAAUAGAAUAGGACCUCGGUUCUAUUUUGUUGGUUUUGUAGGGCAUUGAGGUAAUGAUUAAUAGGGACAGACGGGGGCAUUCGUACUGCGGUGUUAGAGGUGAAAUUCUUGGAUCGCCGCAGGACGAACAACUGCGAAAGCAUUUGCCAAGAAUGUUUUCAUUAAUCAGGAACGAAAGUUGGAGGUUCGAAGACGAUUAGAUACCGUCCUAGUUCCAACCAUAAACGAUGCCAACUAGCGAUUAGCUGCUGUUAAUUAAACGAUACAGCUAGCAGCUUCCGGGAAACCAAAGUUUUUGGGUUCCGGGGGAAGUAUGGUUGCAAAGCUGAAACUUAAAGGAAUUGACGGAAGGGCACCACCAGGAGUGGAGCCUGCGGCUUAAUUUGACCCAACACGGGAAAUCUCACCCGGCCCGGACACUGUAAGGAUUGACAGAUUGAGAGCUCUUUCUUGAUUCGGUGGGUGGUGGUGCAUGGCCGUUCUUAGUUGGUGGAGCGAUUUGUCUGGUUAAUUCCGAUAACGAACGAGACUCUAGCCUGCUAAAUAGUACGCCGAUCUUUAGUCGGCGCGUACUUCUUAGAGGGACAAGUAGCGGUUAGCUACACGAAAUUGAGCGAUAACAGGUCUGUGAUGCCCUUAGAUGUUCGGGGCCGCACGCGCGCUACACUGAAGGGAUAAGCGUGUUCUUCCUGCUCCGAAAGGAGUGGGUAACCCGCUGAAACCCCUUCGUGAUUGGGAUCGGGGCUUGCAAUUAUUCUCCGUGAACGAGGAAUUCCCAGUAAGCGCGAGUCAUAAGCUCGCGUUGAUUACGUCCCUGCCCUUUGUACACACCGCCCGUCGCUACUACCGAUUGAAUGGUUUAGUGAGAUCCUCGGAUUUGUCCGGAAGUGGCCGCAAGGUUGCCUCUAGGUUCGGAGAAGACGAUCAAACUUGAUCAUUUAGAGGAAGUAAAAGUCGUAACAAGGUU
rnacentral:rRNA from 1 species